GGUGUCCCCUCACAGCCCUCCGCGGCCCGGGACUCGCUCUUCCAAGGGGCCGCUGCGCCGGGCGCGGAGCGACAGAGGCGCCACCGCUUCGGGGCCUCGGCCCCUUCCUUCGGGGUAGCCCCGCCCCUGCGGUCGCGGUGCUGCGCGCUAACCCGAGGCCUUUUCUCUCCUGGCACCGCUGAAAGAAUUUCUGUCCGCAUAAUUAGCUUUGUUUUUAAACCAUUAUUCAGGAAGCUCAGAGAUGUCAUUAAUCUUUGGAAGCCAAAUGAUGCUCACUUAGGUUCACUGGUCACAGCAGUUUCAUGGCAUAAUUUAGUGACCCUGUGGCUAUGAGAGCCUCACAGUGGGGGAAAGGAAGGAAACAUGUAUCCUGACAUGGACUACGUCUUUCUUUUCAGACACUGCAGGCUAUGCUGAUUGAUCACAAUACAACCUCUUCACUAAUCAGAAACUAUGUUAGAAAAGUCUCAGGCCUCUGUACCCUUCAGUAAAGACACACCCAUCUACCUCUUACAUUCCUUUCCAGACGACAUGCCAAUUAAAGGCAAAGCUCUGUUAAUCUCAUUCAUGUUGACAUGUCAGCUAAAUUAAUUAAAUGACUUCCAUAAGACAGUAUUGCAUUUCAUGAAUCCAUUCCUGCUUUGUAUGAAAGCCUUGCAUUUUUCUGAGAAAGCCCAUAUAGGUGAAGAGGCGUAUGUGAUGUCUUAAGAGAAAACAUUCAAGAUUCCCUUGAAAAAUCUCCUUCCUGGGUAACUGGUUCGCAAUUAUACAGUGCAGACAAAGAAGAACGUGCAUGCUUCCUCCCUUUUGUUGGCAUGCAGUAUAUAAAGAAACUUUAAGUAGUCGUUAACUGUAUCUACCUGCUUUUAUAUACUUCAGUGAAAAACAGCCAUAAAUAAAAAUCUUGUAUUUCUGCAAAAUAAGUAAUAGAGAACAAAGAAUAAAAUGGAACAGUAAACACAUAACAUGAAGUUUCACUAUAUAAAUGUAUAUGUACGCAUAUUCACACUUUAAAAUCCAUGAUAUAGUUUGUCAUGCAAAUCAGUAUUUCUUAUUUGCAUUUGCAACAAUGUUAGAUGUUUUUUGCAUAUUGUGCUCCCGCUAUUAGUUCUAUAAUUAAUUUUCAAGGAUAUUAUUUCUAGAAAGAUAUACCACAGUAAA